GCUGGCGCCGGCGGCCAUGGAGCGGCUCAGCCAUUACCAUUGGCCGGGUAACGUGCGUCAACUGGAGAACGUGCUGUUCCAGGCGGUUUCCCUGUGC
rnacentral:tRNA from 1 species